rnacentral:rRNA from 1 species
UCGGAACAUGUCCUGUAGCGGGGGAUAACGCGUCGAAAGAUGUGCUAAUACCGCAUACGCUCUACGGAGGAAAGCGGGGGUUUUUGGGCAACUGAGGACCUCGCACUAUAGGAGUGGCCGAUAUCGGAUUAGCUAGUUGGCGGGGUAAAGCCCACCAAGGCGACGAUCCGUAGCUGGUCUGAGAGGAUGAUCAGCCACACUGGAACUGAGACACGGUCCAG